UCUUUUUCUUUUUCCCAAACGUAGUGUGUGUUUGUUUUUGAAGCCGACAGCGAAUUUCUUUUCCCAAACGUAGUGUUUAGUUUGUUUUUGAAGCAGACAGCGAAUUUGCAGAAGAAAGGAGAAGAGGUGAUGAAGGGUUUUGGAAGAUUGGUGCGGCACGGUCUCUGCAGAAGAUCAGAUGUUUGUUCCCGAAAUAGUGCUCGCUAUGCCUCUACUCGCCUCUUAUUCGUUUCUUCAACAACCACAGCGUCUUCUUCGACUUCACAAAACCUCAAAGCGUUCUCUGGUUUCACUUCAUUAAAAUCCUCACCUAUCUCUUCAUUGCACUCCUUAAAAUGGGACGCUUUUGGAGUCUUAUUUUAUGGCAAUGUUACCUUGGCAGGGCAGAGGAGGACCAUGUUUAUCCAAACACAAUCGACUCCCAAUCCUUCAUCCUUCAUGUUCUAUCCUGGGAAGCCAGUCAUGGAAGUUGGGAGUGCAGACUUUCCUAAUGCUCGUUCAGCCAUGAAUUCACCACUAGCAAAGGCCCUGUACGGGAUUGAUGGAAUUACUCGAGUUUUCUUUGGAUCAGAUUUUAUAACUGUAACAAAAUCAGAAGAUGUUCCCUGGGAUAUUUUAAAGCCCGAAAUUUUUGCUGCAAUUAUGGACUUCUAUUCCUCUGGGAAGCCUCUCUUUUUGGACGCUAAUACUGCAGCUUCCAUGGACACAGCUAUUAGUGAAGAUGAUUCAGAGAUUGUUGCAAUGAUUAAAGAACUGUUGGAAACUCGUAUCCGACCUGCAGUACAAGAUGACGGUGGAGAUAUUGAGUACCGGGGAUUUGAUCCAGAUACAGGAAUAGUCAAACUUAGAAUGCAAGGAGCAUGCAGUGGCUGCCCUAGCUCAUCUGUUACUCUGAAAUCUGGCAUUGAGAACAUGCUGAUGCAUUAUGUGCCCGAGGUUAAAGCGGUGGAGCAGGAACUUGAUGAUGAAGAUGAAGCAGCAACAUUACCCGGUUAGAUCGAGUAAUUGAAUAUUUUCUCUUGUUUUAUGGGCUACUUCCGGUUGAGCUUGAUGACUACUGGGAGAAGAGGGAAGAGAGAAGAAAAAGAGAAGAGGUGAUGGCGGCACGACGAAGGUGAUGGUGCUACGAUGAUGGCACAACGGUGGGUCUCUUCGUCCCUCUUCUCUCACCAGAUCUAUGUGUGUAUGCGCACAGAUCUAUACACAGAUCUGUCUCCGAAUUGGUUUUGAUUUGUAGGUUUGUUUUUUAUUUUGAUUUGGUUUUGAUUUGUAGAUUUGUUUUUUAUUUUGAUUUGGUUUUGAUUUGUAUA